UACGGAGGAUGCAAGCGUUAUCCGGAUUCAUUGGGUUUAAAGGGUGCGCAGGCGGAAUGAUAAGUCAGUGGUGAAAUCCUACAGCUCAACUGUAGAACUGCCAUUGAUACUGUCGUUCUUGAGUACACUUGGAGUGGGCGGAAUGUGUCAUGUAGCGGUGAAAUGCUUAGAUAUGACACAGAACACCGAUCGCGAAGGCAGCUCACUAAAUUGUAACUGACGCUCAGGCACGAAAGCGUGGGGAUCAAACAGGAUUAGAUACCCUGGUAGUCCACGCUGUAAACGAUGAUCACUCGAUGUUGGCGAUAUACUGUCAGCGUCUAAGCGAAAGCAUUAAGUGAUCCACCUGGGGAGUACGAUCGCAAGAUUGAA
rnacentral:rRNA from 1 species